AGCCGUGUGUUAAGCACAAAGCGAACUAUUCUUUCGCCUUUUACUAAAGAAUACCGUGUGCAUGUCACUUUAAGCGGCAUACGCUUAUUUUUGGAGGCACCCUUCAUUUGAAGGGCCCUACAUCUCUAGUCUAUAUGCUUUUAUUUAUGUGUUACUGUUUUUCUUUUAUAUGGUUUUUGUUUUCCACUGCAUCAUUAAAUUUUGAUGUCGUUUCUAGCAUUCUCUGUCUUUUUUAUUGUGUGUACAUUAAGAGGUGUUGAAAUUCAUAUAUUAUAUUGUCUUAGAAAAAAUGUGAGCUUCAGUUGCGCUUAUAAUAUAUGAAUCUUGAAGUCUAUUCCAAAGAUUAUAACUAUCGAUUG